AGCAUGCAGCAGCCAUACUAAGUCAGUUACAUACGGAGCAGGGACUUUAUUGCUAAAUUUACAACAUGGCAGAAGGCAGAUCAGAACUCAUGCUCACUGCAGGCUGAGACAUCCUAAAGAGAAAAGAAUGUGUGGAGGCGGGGCGGGGUAAUUUCGCCAAUCAUGUAAAUCACCCACACCUCCCCGUUAAGGAGGCUUGGGAGAGCAGAGUUACCAGAAUAAGAAGGAUUUUGACUGCUGAGGAUACUACGGAAACAUUAAAGUCCAUAACCCACCAUCAAAGAUUUAUGAGGAGAAUAAAAUGUUAUAUAAACAGAAGCCUGAAGAGCCAUGUGAACAAUCAGAACAAGAGGGCACGGAGAAGAAAAAUAUUAAUUAUUGUGAUUCCAGUUCUAAUGGAAGACGCUCAGAUUCUUGAAAGCCAUAGGAAGAAGCUACUGUAAGGACCCAUUUUAGUAAACAUCGAAAACUAGAGGGUCCCCGGCUUCCGGUGAUUUGACUUAGGAUUUUUCAGGCAAUGGAGCAAGAGUACUAGGCAUUUGGUAGAGACCAUACUUUGAAUUUUCUAUUUUGACCUUUUCCCAGUAUGCACUUGUCUCUGGCUGUGUGGGCCGAAGCUCUCUGGUGGCUGGUCAAGGGGCAGCAGGGGUGGCUCCCAGGGACCCAUGCAACCAUGAGGAUCAGCAGCCAGGCCACUAACAACCCCCCUGGCUCCGGGCAACCAUUCUGUUCCCCACGUUCAGUCCUGCAUUCAGUCAAUUACGAGACGGUCAACACUUUUUUUUUUAAUAAAAUAGGCUUUAUGUUAGAUGAUUCUGCCUAACUAUAGGCUGAUGGAAGUGUUCUGA